CUGUCCACGCCGUGGCCGACCCGGGGAUCACCGACAGCCGGGCCAUGCCUCGAGUCCCGCCGCCCGCGCCGCUGCUCGGCUUCUCAGAAACGCACCUCCACGCCGCCAGCCGGGGCUCCAGGGUCCACCGCCCGGGCCCGGAGGACUGGCGACUCCCUCCGAGGUUGGGAGCGCUCCGGAUUUCUCCAACUUCAGCUUCAACAGUAUUGCCUGCUCUAUACACUAGGAAACAUUAUGUGGAACAGCAAAUUUGCUUUCCAAGUCAAACUGAAGAAAACCACACAAUAAUUAUCUAGAAUUAACUUACUGAAUUUAAAGAGGAAUAUACUUGAACUGCCUGACAAAUUAUGCAUUAAGAACAAACCAAGAGAAAAACAAAACAAACAUCACACCAUAAUAUUUUUGUAAAAAGUUUUGAAAGACAAGUGUUUCAUCGUCUUGAGAACGCUGACUUAUGAUGCCCUUGAUUGGCAUUAAGGAAACAAACUCUGGGAAAGAAUGAUGACGUCCUGUUAUAUUCUCAUCUUUGUAUUGCUCUCUCAAGGUAAGAUGGGUCUCUUUAGUACACUAUGUAUUCAAGUUUAAUGAUUAAAGCUAUAAAGGACUAGAGCAUUUGUUUUGGCAAAUUACACAAUGAUCAAAUAGCCUCAAUGUUUUAAAAUGAUUCCUGAUACUCAAUCUUAUCUUUUCCCAGUUUCGUCUGGCAAUUGGUUAUCUACUUUUUAUCAUGCUAAAGGGCUAAUCCUUUGUACUCUUGCCCAUGAAAUAUGAGCAAGUCAUUGGGGUCGCUCUUCAUCAGUAAAAGUUAAUGGUACAGUUAUUCAUUAAGUCCUCUGGAUAAUCAUCUUGACUGUUAUUUAUAUAAUAAUCUCUAGGCUAUUAUGUAUGAUAUGUUGAUAUUAUCUCCUGCAAAUGAAUGCUUCCUUUAACUGCCUUUUUCUAAUAAGGCCACUGUCUGAAAUGAAUUAUUUGAUGCUUGUAGAGGCUGACCUCCUCAACAAUUAGUGUAAUUAAGUGUUGGUUCUAAUUAAGCUUACUCAGUUAUAACCUUCCACUAGCCCAGGGGGAAAAAGCUCCCAUUGAUAUGAAUCAUAAGCAAAUCUCGAGUCACGUGGGGUAUGGAGGGUAUGUUGCCUUUAUCCCCAUAUGUUAGCGGCAUGGGCCCUCCCUCCAUAACAGGGCACCCAGUCUCCCUGGGGAGGUGAAGGCUACCUUU
rnacentral:lncRNA from 1 species